rnacentral:lncRNA from 1 species
GCUAUGUCCUGGGCAUGCUGGGUUGAUGAGAAAUGGUGAAAGGAAUAAUACACUGUUCAUAAAACUCACUGAACUUCUGUGAGUUAUAUGGUCAAGAAGAUGAUUUUAAAAUCUUUAGACAUUUAUUUUAAAGCGUUAAAAUAAAUUUGUUAUUCAGAAAGCAUGUUAAGAGCAGCUGAUUUUAGUACAUUCCAUGCCUAAGGUAAAAUUUUCUUGUGACUCAGAUAUAUAGUAACUAAUAUUACUCUUUCCUGCUAAACACUCUCUUUAUGUUUUAUUUUUCAGAUGUUAGUAGGAGAUCCCAUUACCACAUGUCUUUCUCCCUCAGUGUAUGAUAUGAUUUGUAAACUUGGGUUUGAAGUAAGAGGAAAUUGUGAUUUCAAUAACAUUGUAACCGAAAAUGGUGAAGUCUGCUGGAAAACAAUCACAGACUGUGUGAGCUGUGCAGGAUCAGGUUGGCUUCCCUUUGUACCCCACACCUCAGUUGCUCUGUUGGUUAUAAAGUCUCGCUUUUUAGCCACAGCAUCUUUUCUUUAAACUAUGUGAAAACACAGUCCUCAGCCAAAUUUGAAAAGGAGACAGCCUGAAAAGAGCAGGGUGAGGACAGAGAAGUGUGAGGUCAAGUGUGCUUGGGCUGGAUACCUGGGGUGGGCAGGACUUUCAGGAGGCAGGCUGGGUGACGGGCUGUUGGGUAGGUCUGAGAUCCCAAGAGGAGAACCGUUUGAGUGAUUCAUUGCUAUGAAGAGUAUGAAAUGGCCAGUGGUAGACUCAGCAAUUUUAAAUGUCCUCCUUUAAAUUUAUAUCUGUAUGUUUGGGGGGAGAAGGAUAUGAGCUGGGAAACUUAGUAACAUCUGUAAAAAUUGCGAAUGAUUGUAUUCUGGCCUGCCAAGUCAAUUUCCAGGGAUUUAUAAGAAAAUUACACUCAUGGAUAUGGAGCACUGUGUGUCCUAGCUAAAUAAACAAAUCAGUAAUCUGAAGCAUCCANU